CAAAGUUCGUUUCUUUCUCUUAAUUCUCUUAUCUUUCUUGUAUUUUUUCACUUCAAUUCGUGUAAAAGUAAAAAUUUAACGUAUUGUUGUUAUUGUUUAGGUCGAUGCUGCUCCAGUUGCAGUCGUUCAAUCUGGAAAGAAAGCUAAGAGAGCAGCAGAAGAUGAAAUUGAGAAGGCGGUGAAUACGAAAAAGCAGAAGGUUCAGAGAGAUGAGGUUGUUGUAGCGCAGUAAAAGGCAGAGAAGAAGAAGCCUAAGAAGGUUGAAAGCAGUAGCUCUGAAGAAGAUUCGGAUGAUUCUUCUGAUGAAGAGACUAAGGUGAAAUUUUCACCUUUUUUGUUAAUUUGGAGAAACAUAUUUUUAAUGUUGUUAUAGCUGUACAAGGUUAAAUGUGUUAAAUUUGGAGGUGCAUAGCAUAGUUAUAAAAUUUCAAUGUUAAAAUUUCACCUUUUUGUUAAUUUGCAGAAACCUAUUUUUAAUGUUGUUGUUAUAGCUGUAAAAGGUUAAAAUUGUUAAAUUUAGAUGUGCAUAGCAUAGAUAAAAACUUUCAAUGUUAUAGGGGUUUUUGUAUACUAGUUAGCUAGUCAAGGGACUAGCCCGAUUUUUGGUACGUUAGAAGUAGGUGUACUCUUUGGUGGGCAGUUUAAAAUAGGGCUUUGCCAGCUUUCUGUGACAGCAGAUAAAGCAAGGAACAUUGAUCAUGCUAGAAAGGCUAUUGAGGAUGCUGCUCAAAAGGGUGCCAAGCUAGUUGUUUUGCCUGUACUCGAAAAUAAUGAAGGUGCAACAGAUCAAGAACGAAUGGCUUCAAAGUAGUUACCAUCGUAUCGUCAUCUAUUUUGCUAGCGCGCUAGAUCUUAUUAGUUAGCUUAUUUUCAAGGUUACUUCACUUUGGAUAUUUUCAUUAAACAUACAAUUUGCAAUUAUGUUUAUAGAAAAAUAUUGGUUAGGAUUUCGGUGAAUAUGCAAUACUUGUAGGGAUUUUAAUUAUCUUAGUAUACAUUUAUAAUAUAUUGAUCAAAGUAUUUUUUUACCUUAUAUAUAUAUAUAUCUUCAAGUUUCAAUGUUUGUUUUAUUGUAGAGUAAAUGUACAUAUGUGUGU